rnacentral:rRNA from 1 species
GUCGAGCGAGACCGGGACUUCGGUCCUGGGGACAGCGGCGAACGGGUGAGUAACACGUGGGUAAUCUGCCCUCGAUUCUGGGAUAGCCCGGGGAAACCCGGAUUAAUACCGGAUAGCCUUUCGAGCUUUCGGGCUUGAAAGAAAAGGUAGCUUCGGCCUCCGAUCGAGGAUGAGCCCGCGGUGGAUUAGCUUGUUGGCGGGGUAAUGGCCCACCAAGGCGACNAUCCAUAGCUGGUCUGAGAGGACGAUCAGCCACACUGGGACUGAGACACGGCCCAGACUCCUACGGGAGGCAGCAGUGGGGAAUCUUGCGCAAUGGGCGAAAGCCUGACGCAGCGACGCCGCGUGGGGGAAGAAGGCCUUAGGGUUGUAAACCUCUUUCAGGUGGGACGAAGCCACUCGGGUUAAUAGCCCAGAGGGUGACGGUACCCCCAGAAAAAGCCCCGGGCUAACUACGUGCCAGCAGCCGGGGUGAUACGUAGGGGGCAAGCGUUUGUCCGGAUUUAUUGGGCGUAAAAAGCGUGUAGGCGGCCAGUUAGGUGGGUUGUGAAAACUGGAGGCUCAACCUUCAGACGUCGACCUAAACCCCCUUGGCUAGAGUCCGGAAGAGGAGAGUGGAAAUUCCUGGUGUAGCGGUGAAAUGCCCAAAUUUCAGGAAGAACACCCGUGGCGAAAGGCGGCUCUCUGGGAACGGUACUGACGCUGAAACGCGAAAGCGUGGGGAGCGAAAAGG